AUGAUUAGAGCAUCAAAAAUGGGUAUGAUUAUCCCUGACAAUAAUUUUUCUUCUAUUGAUAUCCUGAGAGAGUUGGAGAGAGUCAGGAAUAAUGACAAUAAUAAUAGUCACAAGCCUGACACUACAGUGGAUGAGAAAAUGAUGUUUAUAACUAAUGGGAAAGGGGAUAAAACACCCAUCAGCUCUGAUUGGGCUGAUGGGGAGGAAGAUUUGGGGGAAAACUUUAUCCUUGUAAGGUCUAGGAAGAAGAGAAAUCCCAAAAUCCAAGUGGCAAUAUCUAGGCCUUUGACCAGGAGUCAAAAACCUGACUUAGUGAUGGAAAGAAAGGAAAAAACUGGCAGCCCUGUCUAUCAUACCAGGGCCACCAGGGGGCAAAAGAAAAAGAAACCUGGUUGA
rnacentral:rRNA from 1 species